rnacentral:snRNA from 1 species
AGGCUUCCCUCUUGGGGUUGGGGUCAUCUCAUGCCUGGACUCUACCACGAAGGUGGUUUUCCCAGGGUGAGGCUCAUCCAUUGCACUGCGGGUGUGCUGCCCCCGCGAUUUCCCCAAAUGUGGGAAACUCGACUGCAUAAUUUGUGGUAGUGGGGGACUGCGUUCGUUGUGCUCGU